CGCGGACCCCGGGCCGGCCGCGGGCGAGCACGGGGACAGGCGUGCCGGCCGGCGUGGGCUCUCCGGCUGACCACGCGGCAGACCCCGGGCCGCAGUCGCCCUGGGGUGGGGGUCGCCGGCCGACAGACAGGUGCCUGGAUUUUAUUCUUAAAUAAAUGCUCAGCCUCAGGCCUGGUUAGGCAGACAUCAGAAGAAGGCAGAUCGCAGGCCCCUCGUCCGUGGGAGCAGUGGGAUGGCCCAGGGAGGCAGAGACUCCAAGAAGAUGAUGCAGAAGGAGCACCGUGCCAUCGAGUCAUCAGCGUUCCUGCGUCUGAGACCAGCAGGUCCACCCCGCGUGAGCGCACGUCUGCCCCGAGAUGCAUUUAGCAGGAGAACUCCGGGAGCACUACGGUCUGCGCCGUGAGGGGACACGCUCAUGAGUUUGUCCGUCCACUGCUCAGUGAGAUUCAUGCUUAUCCAUAUUCAUAAACACCCCAAGAGAUAAGAGUUCUUUGGCCAGAA
rnacentral:lncRNA from 1 species